UACGUAGGGAGCAAGCGUUAUCCGGAUUUACUGGGUGUAAAGGGCGCGCAGGCGGGCCGGCAAGUUGGAAGUGAAAUCCGGGGGCUUAACCCCCGAACUGCUUUCAAAACUGCUGGUCUUGAGUGAUGGAGAGGCAGACGGAAUUCCGUGUGUAGCGGUGAAAUGCGUAGAUAUACGGAGGAACACCAGUGGCGAAGGCGGCCUGCUGGACAUUAACUGACGCUGAGGCGCGAAAGCGUGGGGAGCAAACAGG
rnacentral:rRNA from 1 species